rnacentral:ncRNA from 2 species
UUGCGUUAGCGAUAGUAACGGCAUCCUUUUGCUUCUUCUGCAAAAGAUAUAGUGGAAAGCGCAAUCCAGU